GGCGAACGCUGGCGGCGUGCUUAACACAUGCAAGUCGAACGGAAAGGCCCUGCUUUUGUGGGGUGCUCGAGUGGCGAACGGGUGAGUAACACGUGAGUAACCUGCCCUUGACUUUGGGAUAACUUCAGGAAACUGGGGCUAAUACCGGAUAGGAGCUCCUGCUGCAUGGUGGGGUUUGGAAAGUUUCGGCGGUUGGGGAUGGACUCGCGGCUUAUCAGCUUGUUGGUGGGGUAGUGGCUUACCAAGGCUUUGACGGGUAGCCGGCCUGAGAGGGUGACCGGCCACAUUGGGACUGAGAUACGGCCCAGACUCCUACGGGAGGCAGCAGUGGGGAAUAUUGCACAAUGGGCGGAAGCCUGAUGCAGCAACGCCGCGUGCGGGAUGACGGCCUUCGGGUUGUAAACCGCUUUCGCCUGUGACGAAGCGUGAGUGACGGUAAUGGGUAAAGAAGCACCGGCUAACUACGUG
rnacentral:rRNA from 1 species